rnacentral:rRNA from 1 species
UGCCAGCAGCCGCGGUAAUACGGGGGGUGCAAGCGUUAUUCGGAAUUAUUGGGCGUAAAGCGCGCGCAGGCGGGAAUAUAAGUCAGGUGUGAAAUCUCGAGGCCUAACCUCGAAACUGCGCCUGAAACUGUGUUCCUAGAAUAUCGGAGAGGGAAGGAGAAUUUCUCGUGUAGGGGUAAAAUCCGUAGAGACGAGAAGGAAUACCAGUGGCGAAGGCGCCUUCCUGGACGAUGAUUGACGCUGAGGCGCGAAAGCGUGGGGAGCAAACAGGAUUAGAUA